rnacentral:rRNA from 1 species
UACGUAGGGUGCAAGCGUUAAUCGGAAUUACUGGGCGUAAAGUGUGCGCAGGCGGUUUCGUAAGUCUGUCGUGAAAUCCCCGGGCUUAACCUGGGAAUGGCGAUGGAGACUGCGAGGCUAGAGUUUGGCAGAGGGGGGUAGAAUUCCACGUGUAGCAGUGAAAUGCGUAGAGAUGUGGAGGAACACCGAUGGCGAAGGCAGCCCCCUGGGUCAAAACUGACGCUCAUGCACGAAAGCGUGGGGAGCAAACAGG